AACCUCGUAGCUUAGUGGUUAUAGCCCCACACCUUAUUACUUCCCUGAUCACUAUGGCUUGCGGACGUCGCAGCUUCAAUUCCUGCUGAGGUCA